rnacentral:lncRNA from 1 species
GACACUAUGGGAGUGAGAAGACCAAGAGGAAUGUGGCAUAUUUGGUACGUUGACUCAGGAGAGUGGCCCAUGCAGUUAGACGUGCAACAUAUAAUCACCGUUGGACACGUGGGUCCACAGCACCAGGAUCAGAAUACUGUUAAUAUUGUACUUAGUGUUGGGAUCUUGAUGCCUACCUUCAACACACACAAAGGAAUGGGUCUUGCAAAUUAUAUCUUUAAAAAAGACAAUUUAAAGAAAUUAUACAUUUCAAAUCCUGAAACUGGACAAAUGAGGUACACAACUGAAAGAAGGUGAAUUGUCCAAAAUUUCAUGAGAAAACAGUCGUGGCACAUAUUGGUGAACUGAUAAAUGUUACUCCAUUAAGGGAUAAAGCUUCUAUGUCAUGGUAUUAAUUGGUCAACAAGUUUUGAUAGUGAAAGGAUUACCCACUUACUGGUGUAUUCUCCUCAGGAAUGAGAUGAAAGUUGACUGAGAAGCAAAAAUUAAAAACUUACUGAAGGUGGCA